AUUUAGUUUCAAGGAUAAACUAGUUCACUUUGGAUGAUGAUGGCACGGCUGGAAGUGUUUCACUUAUAUAGGUCAUGUGACGUUCAUUGACGGCUAUUAUUGGCAGAAACGAAAACGAGGCGAUCGGGGAAACAAACAGUACACACAAAUGACUUCGAAUGUAUGGUGCUCUCUGAAGGACAUGUAACGAUUAUAAACGAACAUAUGUCUCUCAAUGACGAUAUACAUCUACAGAAAUGGUGUGGAAUUUGUACGGUAUUCUUCGGGGUUUUACCUAAAAACCUUAAAACCAAAAGUAAGGAACGUAACAUUUGUCAUUGGACUGUGGUCAUGCUGGGGCACUGCCGCCAAAGUUUU